rnacentral:rRNA from 1 species
GACGUAGGGCGCGAGCGUUGUCCGGAUUUAUUGGGCGUAAAGAGCUCGUAGGCGGUCUGUCGCGUCUGCUGUGAAAACUCGGGGCUUAACCCCGGGCCUGCAGUGGGUACGGGCAGACUAGAGUGUGGUAGGGGAGACUGGAAUUCCUGGUGUAGCGGUGGAAUGCGCAGAUAUCAGGAGGAACACCGAUGGCGAAGGCAGGUCUCUGGGCCACUACUGACGCUGAGAAGCGAAAGCAUGGGGAGCGAACAGG